rnacentral:rRNA from 1 species
AGCGAACGCUGGCGGCGUGCUUAACACAUGCAAGUCGAACGGCAACGCACCAAGAUUUUGGGUUGAUGGGGGGGGGUGGCCGGCGGGGGGAGGACUCGUGCGUAACCUACCCCUUCGUGCGGGAUAACGGCGUGAAAGUGUGGCUAAUACGGGAUAUUCUCUGUCGGUGAAAUGAUGGGUCUGUGGAAGCUUUUGUGUCUGAGGGAGAUGGGCUCGCGGCCUAUCGGCUUGUGGGUGGGGUGAUGGCCUACCAAGGCGGUGAGGAGUAGCUGGCAUGGGAGGGUGGGCGGCCAUACUGGGACGGAGCGACGGAGCAGACUCCGACGGGAGGCAGCAGGGGGGAAUAUUGCACAAUGGGAGGAAGCCUGAUGCAGCGACGCCGCGGGAGGGAUGGAGGCCGGCGGGUUGUGAACCUCUUUCGCGAGAGAAGCAGGCCUGCCUAGUGUGUGGGUGGGCUGACGGUAGCUGGAGAAGAAGCGCCGGCUAACUACGUG